rnacentral:rRNA from 1 species
GAUGAACGCUGGCGGCGUGCUUAACACAUGCAAGUCGAACGAUGAAGCCCAGCUUGCUGGGUGGAUUAGUGGCGAACGGGUGAGUAACACGUGAGCAACCUGCCCCUGACUCUGGGAUAAGCGCUGGAAACGGCGUCUAAUACUGGAUAUGUCCCGUCACCGCAUGGUGUGCGGGUGGAAAGAUUUUUCGGUUGGGGAUGGGCUCGCGGCCUAUCAGCUUGUUGGUAAGGUAAUGGCUCACCAAGGCGUCGACGGGUAGCCGGCCUGAGAGGGUGACCGGCCACACUGGGACUGAGACACGGCCCAGACUCCUACGGGAGGCAGCAGUGGGGAAUAUUGCACAAUGGGCGGAAGCCUGAUGCAGCAACGCCGCGUGAGGGAUGACGGCCUUCGGGUUGUAAACCUCUUUUAGCAGGGAAGAAGCGAAAGUGACGGUACCUGCAGAAAAAGCACCGGCUAACUACGUG